AAUACAGAGGUCCCAAGCAUUGUUCGGAUUCACUGGGCGUAAAGGGUGUGUAGGAGGCAAGGCAAGUCUGGCGUGAAAUUUCGGCAUCCAAUGUCGAAACUGCUCUGGAUACUGCUUUGCUCGAGUGCCGGAGAGGAGAACGGAAUUCCUGGUGUAGCAGUGAAAUGCAUAGAUAUCAGGAGGAACGCCGAAGGAAGCAGUUCUCUGGAAGGUUACUGACUCUGAAACACGAAGGCCAGGGGAGCAAACGGGAUUAGAUACCCCGGUAGUCCUGGCAGUAAACGGUGCGCGCUAGAUGUUGGCGGAUUCGACCCCGCCAGUGUCGCAGCAAACGCGUUAAGCGCGCCGCCUGAGAAGUACGAUCGCAAGAUUAAAACUCAAAGAAAUUGACGGGGGCCCGCACAAGCGGUGGGAGUAUGUGGCUUAAUUCGAUGCAACGCGAAGAACCUUACCUGGCCUUGACAUGCUUAGUUCAUUCAUGGAAACAUGAUGUCCCGCAAGGAGAUUUGCACAGGUGCUGCAUGGCUGUCGUCAGCUCGUGUCGUGAGAUGUUGGGUUAAGUCCCGCAACGAGCGCAACCCUUAUGUCCUGUUAAAUUAACUCUGGACAGACUGCCCUGCUAUAACGGGGAGGAAGGUGAGGAUGACGUCAAGUCAGGAUGGCCCUUACGGCCAGGGCUGCACACGUACUACAAUGCCUGAUACAAUGGGCGGCAAGACCGCGAGGUGGAGCUAAUCCCCAAAAUCAGGCCCAGUUCGGAUCGCAGGCUGCAACUCGCCUGCGUGAAGCCGGAAUCGCUAGUAAUGGCGCAUCAGCUACGGCGCCGUGAAUACGUUCCCGGGCCUUGUACACACCGCCCGUCACAUCAUGAAAGCCUGUUGUUCCCGAAGUGCUUUUGGCCCUAAGGAAUGAC
rnacentral:rRNA from 1 species